rnacentral:rRNA from 1 species
CCUACGGGAGGCAGCAGUGGGGGAUAUUGCACAAUGGGGGAAACCCUGAUGCAGCGACGCCGCGUGAAGGAAGACGGUCCUCUGGAUUGUAAACUACUGUCCCCAGGGACGAAGAUGACGGUACCUGGGGAGGACGCUCCGGCUAUCUACGUGCCAGCAGCCGCGGUAAUACGUAGGGAGCGAGGGUUGGCCGGAAUUACUGGGUGUAAAGGGAGCGUAGGCGGGGAUGCAAGUUGGGUGUUAAAUCUACCGGCUCAACUGGUAGUCGCACUCGAAACUGCAGCUCUUGAGUGAAGUAGAGGCAGGCGGAAUUCGUAGUGUAGCGGUGAAAUGCUUAGAUAUUAGGAGGAACACCAGUGGCGAAGGCGGCCUGCUGGGCUUUUACUGACGCUGAGGCUCGAAAGUGUGGGGAGCAAACAGGAUUAGAUACCCGAGUAGUC